rnacentral:rRNA from 1 species
CGGGUGAGUAAUGUCUGGGAAACUGCCUGAUGGAGGGGGAUAACUACUGGAAACGGUAGCUAAUACCGCAUAAUGUCGCAAGACCAAAGAGGGGGGCCUUCGGGCCUCUUGCCAUCGGAUGUGCCCAGAUGGGAUUAGCUAGUAGGUGGGGUAACGGCUCACCUAGGCGACGAUCCCUAGCUGGUCUGAGAGGAUGACCAGCCACACUGGAACUGAGACACGGUCCAG